CUGUUUAUUUUUGUUCCAAAUGGGCAGGGCCCUCUUGCCUGUUCUGACUAAUCCACUUGUCAGGGCUGGAAUCUCCUAACAGUUCCUUCCUCCAGUGCCAGGAAUCAAACCUAGGACCUCAACGCCACUUAACAUGCCAUACUCUCCCACCAUUGAACAAUAUCCAGAGACUGCUGACACAUCUUUCUUUGUGCUCACACAAGUUCAUAUGCAGAUGCUGGGACCAGAGAAGUGGCUCGGCAGUUAAGAGGACCUGGCAGCUCUUCCAGAGGACCUGUGUUUGAUUCCCAGAACUCCCAUGGUAGCUCAAAACCGUGUGUCUCCAAUCAUAGGGAGUGCAGCGCCCUCGUCUGGCCUCCAUGAGCACUGCAUGCAUAAGGUGCACAGACAUAAAUGGCAGCAAAAAUAAAAAGCCGGACACAGA
ensembl:antisense Gm4876 predicted gene 4876